CCCUGAGGCCCUCCACUAUGACCUCGACAACCUUCGGGAACCACCGCGAUAGGUCGCUCACCUCCAUCGAUGAUGACUCCGAUGAGAUCCAGAUGGUGCAUCCUUGCACCGCCCUCCUCCGACUCGAUUCCGACCGUUCCACACCCUUUGAGUCCUUCGGAUGCUCCUAUGAGCUGGUCGCCUUGAACUCCGACACUGACGACAACGGCAGCCCAUCGGAUCUCCGACAAUCAUGCCAAGAA
rnacentral:lncRNA from 1 species